rnacentral:rRNA from 1 species
GACGGAGGAUGCAAGUGUUAUCCGGAAUCACUGGGCGUAAAGCGUCUGUAGGUGGUUUAAUAAGUCAACUGUUAAAUCUUGAGGCUCAACCUCAAAAUCGCAGUCGAAACUAUUAGGCUAGAGUAUAGUAGGGGUAAAGGGAAUUUCCAGUGGAGCGGUGAAAUGCGUAGAGAUUGGAAAGAACACCGAUGGCGAAGGCAGUUUACUGGGCCAUUACUGACGCUGAGAGACGAAAGCUAGGGGAGCAAAUGGG